CCUACGGGGGGCAGCAGUGGGGAAUAUUGGACAAUGGGCGAAAGCCUGAUCCAGCCAUGCCGCGUGUGUGAAGAAGGCCUUCGGGUUGUAAAGCACUUUCAGUGGGGAAGGAAGCCUUGGGGCUAAUACCCUCGAGGAAGGACAUCACCCACAGAAGAAGCACCGGCUAACUCCGUGCCAGCAGCCGCGGUAAUACGGAGGGUGCGAGCGUUAAUCGGAAUUACUGGGCGUAAAGCGCGCGUAGGCGGUCUGAUAAGCCGGUUGUGAAAGCCCCGGGCUCAACCUGGGAACGGCAUCCGGAACUGUCAGGCUAGAGUGCAGGAGAGGAAGGUAGAAUUCCCGGUGUAGCGGUGAAAUGCGUAGAGAUCGGGAGGAAUACCAGUGGCGAAGGCGGCCUUCUGGACUGACACUGACGCUGAGGUGCGAAAGCGUGGGUAGCAAACAGGAUUAGAUACCCGAGUAGUC
rnacentral:rRNA from 1 species